rnacentral:rRNA from 1 species
GGUUAAGCGACUAAGCGUACACGGUGGAUGCCCUGGCAGUCAGAGGCGAUGAAGGACGUGCUAAUCUGCGAUAAGCGUCGGUAAGGUGAUAUGAACCGUUAUAACCGGCGAUUUCCGAAUGGGGAAACCCAGUGUGUUUCGACACACUAUCAUUAACUGAAUCCAUAGGUUAAUGAGGCGAACCGGGGGAACUGAAACAUCUAAGUACCCCGAGGAAAAGAAAUCAACCGAGAUUCCCCCAGUAGCGGCGAGCGAACGGGGAGCAGCCCAGAGCCUGAAUCAGUGUGUGUGUUAGUGGAAGCGUCUGGAAAGGCGCGCGAUACAGGGUGACAGCCCCGUACACAAAAAUGCACAUGCUGUGAGCUCGAUGAGUAGGGCGGGACACGUGGUAUCCUGUCUGAAUAUGGGGGGACCAUCCUCCAAGGCUAAAUACUCCUGACUGACCGAUAGUGAACCAGUACCGUGAGGGAAAGGCGAAAAGAACCCCGGCGAGGGGAGUGAAAAAGAACCUGAAACCGUGUACGUACAAGCAGUGGGAGCCUCUUUUAUGGGGUGACUGCGUACCUUUUGUAUAAUGGGUCAGCGACUUAUAUUCUGUAGCAAGGUUAACCGAAUAGGGGAGCCGAAGGGAAACCGAGUCUUAACUGGGCGUUAAGUUGCAGGGUAUAGACCCGAAACCCGGUGAUCUAGCCAUGGGCAGGUUGAAGGUUGGGUAACACUAACUGGAGGACCGAACCGACUAAUGUUGAAAAAUUAGCGGAUGACUUGUGGCUGGGGGUGAAAGGCCAAUCAAACCGGGAGAUAGCUGGUUCUCCCCGAAAGCUAUUUAGGUAGCGCCUCGUGAAUUCAUCUCCGGGGGUAGAGCACUGUUUCGGCAAGGGGGUCAUCCCGACUUACCAACCCGAUGCAAACUGCGAAUACCGGAGAAUGUUAUCACGGGAGACACACGGCGGGUGCUAACGUCCGUCGUGAAGAGGGAAACAACCCAGACCGCCAGCUAAGGUCCCAAAGUCAUGGUUAAGUGGGAAACGAUGUGGGAAGGCCCAGACAGCCAGGAUGUUGGCUUAGAAGCAGCCAUCAUUUAAAGAAAGCGUAAUAGCUCACUGGUCGAGUCGGCCUGCGCGGAAGAUGUAACGGGGCUAAACCAUGCACCGAAGCUGCGGCAGCGACACUAUGUGUUGUUGGGUAGGGGAGCGUUCUGUAAGCCUGUGAAGGUGUACUGUGAGGUAUGCUGGAGGUAUCAGAAGUGCGAAUGCUGACAUAAGUAACGAUAAAGCGGGUGAAAAGCCCGCUCGCCGGAAGACCAAGGGUUCCUGUCCAACGUUAAUCGGGGCAGGGUGAGUCGACCCCUAAGGCGAGGCCGAAAGGCGUAGUCGAUGGGAAACAGGUUAAUAUUCCUGUACUUGGUGUUACUGCGAAGGGGGGACGGAGAAGGCUAUGUUGGCCGGGCGACGGUUGUCCCGGUUUAAGCGUGUAGGCUGGUUUUCCAGGCAAAUCCGGAAAAUCAAGGCUGAGGCGUGAUGACGAGGCACUACGGUGCUGAAGCAACAAAUGCCCUGCUUCCAGGAAAAGCCUCUAAGCAUCAGGUAACAUCAAAUCGUACCCCAAACCGACACAGGUGGUCAGGUAGAGAAUACCAAGGCGCUUGAGAGAACUCGGGUGAAGGAACUAGGCAAAAUGGUGCCGUAACUUCGGGAGAAGGCACGCUGAUAUGUAGGUGAAGUCCCUCGCGGAUGGAGCUGAAAUCAGUCGAAGAUACCAGCUGGCUGCAACUGUUUAUUAAAAACACAGCACUGUGCAAACACGAAAGUGGACGUAUACGGUGUGACGCCUGCCCGGUGCCGGAAGGUUAAUUGAUGGGGUCAGCGCAAGCGAAGCUCUUGAUCGAAGCCCCGGUAAACGGCGGCCGUAACUAUAACGGUCCUAAGGUAGCGAAAUUCCUUGUCGGGUAAGUUCCGACCUGCACGAAUGGCGUAAUGAUGGCCAGGCUGUCUCCACCCGAGACUCAGUGAAAUUGAACUCGCUGUGAAGAUGCAGUGUACCCGCGGCAAGACGGAAAGACCCCGUGAACCUUUACUAUAGCUUGACACUGAACAUUGAGCCUUGAUGUGUAGGAUAGGUGGGAGGCUUUGAAGUGUGGACGCCAGUCUGCAUGGAGCCGACCUUGAAAUACCACCCUUUAAUGUUUGAUGUUCUAACGUUGACCCGUGAUCCGGGUUGCGGACAGUGUCUGGUGGGUAGUUUGACUGGGGCGGUCUCCUCCUAAAGAGUAACGGAGGAGCACGAAGGUUGGCUAAUCCUGGUCGGACAUCAGGAGGUUAGUGCAAUGGCAUAAGCCAGCUUGACUGCGAGCGUGACGGCGCGAGCAGGUGCGAAAGCAGGUCAUAGUGAUCCGGUGGUUCUGAAUGGAAGGGCCAUCGCUCAACGGAUAAAAGGUACUCCGGGGAUAACAGGCUGAUACCGCCCAAGAGUUCAUAUCGACGGCGGUGUUUGGCACCUCGAUGUCGGCUCAUCACAUCCUGGGGCUGAAGUAGGUCCCAAGGGUAUGGCUGUUCGCCAUUUAAAGUGGUACGCGAGCUGGGUUUAGAACGUCGUGAGACAGUUCGGUCCCUAUCUGCCGUGGGCGCUGGAGAACUGAGGGGGGCUGCUCCUAGUACGAGAGGACCGGAGUGGACGCAUCACUGGUGUUCGGGUUGUCAUGCCAAUGGCACUGCCCGGUAGCUAAAUGCGGAAGAGAUAAGUGCUGAAAGCAUCUAAGCACGAAACUUGCCCCGAGAUGAGUUCUCCCUGACUCCUUGAGAGUCCUGAAGGAACGUUGAAGACGACGACGUUGAUAGGCCGGGUGUGUAAGCGCAGCGAUGCGUUGAGCUAACCGGUACUAAUGAACCGUGAGGCUUAACCUU